GCCUGAGUGGCUCAGUUGGUUGAGCAUCCAACUAGGGCCCAGAUCGAGAUCUUGUGGUUUGUGGGUUCAAGCCCCACAUCAGGCU
rnacentral:tRNA from 1 species